rnacentral:rRNA from 1 species
GACGAACGCUGGCGGCGUGCUUAACACAUGCAAGUCGAACGGUAAGGCCCUUCGGGGUACACGAGUGGCGAACGGGUGAGUAACACGUGGGUGAUCUGCCCUGCACUUCGGGAUAAGCCUGGGAAACUGGGUCUAAUACCGGAUAGGACUCCGGACUGCAUGGUCUGGGGUGGAAAGCUUUUGCGGUGUGGGAUGGGCCCGCGGCCUAUCAGCUUGUUGGUGGGGUGAUGGCCUACCAAGGCGACGACGGGUGGCCGGCCUGAGAGGGUGACCGGCCACACUGGGACUGAGAUACGGCCCAGACUCCUACGGGAGGCAGCAGUGGGGAAUAUUGCACAAUGGGCGCAAGCCUGAUGCAGCAACGCCGCGUGAAUGAUGAAGGCCUUCGGGUCGUAAAGCUCUUUCAGAUGUGAAGAUGAUGACGGUAACAUCAGAAGAAGCUCCGGCUAACUCCGUGCCAGCCGCCGCAGUAA